ACAACAAGGACAGUCUUAUUUGACUUCUUGGGGAUUGUGCCAUCUGGAGAAUUGAGUUAUGGUCUCCCUGCUCUGGGGGUCUUACAUGUGGAAGCUCCUUCAGGAUCAGCAACCUCCCUCCUUUCCAAAGACCCACUUGGAGGUGAGAUAGUGUCUGGUUCUUUGUGUUGUAUCUUUGUGUAUUGUGCUGGCUGAACACUGGUUCUGUAGUUGCUUGUGAGUACUGGUGUUUGCAGUCGCUCAUAUCUCAGGUACAGAUGGAAGCUUGUGUCUCAGGAGGAGACAGGGGAGGGUGAAUAUUGGUAGAUGAGCUAGGGUCUCACUGAGUGCGCUGCCCUGGGAGACAUCCCAGGAUGUGUGGAGGGACCCAAGGGAUGCAUGUAAGAUUCCCAAAUUCACUGGUUCCUAUCAAUAAAUAUUGUGUGAUUACAGCACAGAUGGUCUUACAUGAAUUCUUGGGGGUCUCAUCAUUUCGAGACUUGCAUGAGGGUAUCCCCACUCCAGGGGUUUUACAAUAGGAGGAGAGAAGGAAGGCAAUCAGAAUCUCCAAAAGGGUAGGAUAUACAGAGGGUAGUGAUGAGCAGAGAGCAUUUCUCUAUGACCAGGUGAGCCAUCCAACUAUGUACACCUGAUGGAGAGUCUAAGCUGGUUUUGGGGCUUGGGCAGUGUUGGAAAAGAGCAUUAAGUGUUGUAAGAGCACAGGAGGAGGUUCAAGGUCUAAGGGAUGUUCUCGGAACAGGCCAAGAUUGGCUAGGCUUCUAACAUUUGUUGCAGAAAGAUUUGACCUUGCAACCUUUACUUUCAUUGGCCUUAUUUCCCAAGGUCAGUGUUUAAUUAAAGCACAUGUGAGAACAUUGCGGGAACCCGUCCAGAAUCCAGGCACCCAGAGAGAAAGUAACAAAGGGCCAAAAUGUGAGUGCUGGUCACAUCUAUGGCUCAGUAAAUGAGGAUUCAGACUCCAGUGAGAUUUGUCAUCUUUACUGAGAAUCAUAACAUCAUUCCUCUAGUCCUCAUCCCUCAUCCUCUAAUCUGCUCACAGUGAGUACUCCAAUCCCAAUUUUGUGAUUUGGACUUUUAGGGCCCAAAUUAUGUCUACAGGACUAUGUACACCUAGAAAUUCCUUGCACGAUAUUUCUAGAAAACCAUGCAUGGAACCACCAAAUGUAUACUUUCUCUUCUGAGGUUACUUUGCCAGAAUUAGAGACAGUGAUAAACAGUAGAGACUGAGAGUACCUUCCUGCUUUAACCUGAAAGCAUAUUUUCCUAAUUUCUACCCCUCUUCCCUGGGGACAGGGAAGUGCAUAGCACUUGAAAGAAAGCAAAAUCCAUCACCUUGAGACUUUGUGCCCUAAAUUCCGGAAGAAGCUGCCAUCAAGUUAAACAGAAGGCCUUUGUUCAUUUUUGGUAUCACAGGAACUAUCAUUUCAGAGCUGAACAUAGUGGACUGGAAGCAUGCCAGAGAUAAAAUUGGAAAAGCAAAUGUAACAGGUUCCUUUGGGGUCCAGAAUCAUGCAUCAUAUGAGAUCUGAGGGGUGGCUCUGAUGAAUGAGUAAAAAUGAAUACUGCUGAUCAUCUGACUUCCAGUAUGGUCUGAUGGUUUCUGCUCUCUGAUUCCUGAUUUGUAAAUGCAUCGGCAGCCACACCCUGCAUCAGACACAGCCUGACUACAGCAGAUACUAUCUACUACUUACAGUUCAUAUGGUUCAAAACCCCCAUGCUUCUUCUGAAAUUUAAAAACGUCCUUGUUCUCUGCCAUGUAUGCCUAAAUGAUCCUCAGAGUUUUUGCUAUACUGCUCAUUAUUUAUGGUAUCCAUCUCAAUGUCAAAUAUCAAAUAUAUUUUACUCAAAAUUUCUGUGUCACAUUGUCCUGCUACCUACCAGAGCUGAAGGACUAGAGGUUUUUUAGACAAUUUGUUUAUAAAUGACAGAACUAAAAGGAAGAUUCUGAUGAAACAUCAAACACUUUCUAAUGGAACACUUUUAAUUUUAGAUAAUUUCUUUUAUGUAGGUUGGUAGCAUAGACACACAAACUAGCACAGCUGCUUUUCAGAGUACUUUUCUCAUGUAUAGUUUAUUAUAUUCCUUUAAAGGAAGCUUUGAAAAUGUAUAAAGUUUCAGAAAUCUUAAGUAACAAAUUCAAGAGAAUAAAACAAAUGAAGUAGUUUUUAAUAUACAGAUUUUCAGAAGCACCAAGGAAUAAAGAUUUGCAAAGUUUUCUACUGGCAUGAUGGUUUGGUACAAAAACUGGUUUUAAAUCUCCUGGUCCCUCUUCUAUAGGUCAGAACUUGCACCUUCUCAAAUUUGCCUUAUAAUUCCCCUAGACCACAAAACAACUGUCAAUGGUCAACUUUGGGCUUCAAUCUGGUCCCCUUUUUUUCUGUUCUUUGGCUAAGUCAUAUUAUAUUUUAUUCCAUAGUCAUGAUGCAAGAAGGUAACAGGUUGGAAAGAGGUCUAACACCUCCAGGAACUCCGUUGAAAAUGGUCAGAGCAAAUAUUUCUUACACUGUGAACCCCAGACCUACAAAAUUUUUCACAUGGAAAAUGGGUAAAACUAAUUAACACAGUAAAUGGAACAACAUUGAUUUUUUUGUAAAAUACUUAUAAUCAAUGCAAAGUAAUGUAUCUGUAUUGUGAACUCCUGUGUCUGUAUGACCUCCUAAGUCUUGCAAUUUUGAUCUAGCUAGAAUCCCGGACAUAUAUUCCUAUUUGGAAAACAAGUUUUCAUUCUAAUCAGAAAUCAGAUCAUUUCUCAAAGAACUCAGUGCCACUCUUUCAUCAACGCACUGAAUAUAUCUGUAUUGUUUUGCAGGUAAAAUGAAAAAUCCGUUGAACAAAUCAGUAAAUUUUAGCUUAUUUUGAAAUAUUUUUUAUUUACU
rnacentral:sRNA from 1 species